rnacentral:rRNA from 1 species
AUGCAAGUCGAGGGGUAUGCUUCUUCGGAAGCAGAGACCGGCGCACGGGUGCGUAACGCGUAUGCAAUCUGCCUUUCACAGAGGGAUAGCCCAGAGAAAUUUGGAUUAAUACCUCAUAGCAUAGCACAAUCGCAUGAUUGAGCUAUUAAAGUCACAACGGUGAAAGAUGAGCAUGCGUCCCAUUAGCUGGUUGGUAAGGUAACGGCUUACCAAGGCUACGAUGGGUAGGGGUCCUGAGAGGGAGAUCCCCCACACUGGUACUGAGACACGGACCAGACUCCUACGGGAGGCAGCAGUGAGGAAUAUUGGUCAAUGGGCGCAAGCCUGAACCAGCCAUGCCGCGUGCAGGAUGACGGUCCUAUGGAUUGUAAACUGCUUUUGUACGAGAAGAAACACUCCUUCGUGAAGGAGCUUGACGGUAUCGUAAGAAUAAGGAUCGGCUAACUCCGUGCCAGCAGCCGCGGUAAUACGGAGGAUCCAAGCGUUAUCCGGAAUCAUUGGGUUUAAAGGGUCCGUAGGCGGUCUGGUAAGUCAGUGGUGAAAGCCCAUCGCUCAACGGUGGAACGGCCAUUGAUACUGCUGGACUUGAAUUAUUAGGAAGUAACUAGAAUAUGUAGUGUAGCGGUGAAAUGCUUAGAGAUUACAUGGAAUACCAAUUGCGAAGGCAGGUUACUACUAAUGGAUUGACGCUGAUGGACGAAAGCGUGGGUAGCGAACAGGAUUAGAUACCCUGGUAGUCCACGCCGUAAACGAUGGAUACUAGCUGUUG